UUAAUCACUCUCUUUCCUCCUCUAGAUUGACUAAAGGGGCACAUCAUAUAUUUUUUCUUCGUUCUGCUCAACCUAAAACCUCUUGAUUCCAAGCUCGUUCUCCAUAGCUCCAGUUUAGUAUUAGUCCCAUCCACAGUUUCAUCUAUCAACACAAUAUCAUCAACAAAUAGCAUACACCACGGAAUCGAGUCUUGGAUGUGCCUGGUUAGGUCAUCCAUAAUGAGUGCAAAUAAAUAAGGACUUAGAGCAGAUCCUUGGUGUAACCCAAUUGUGAUUGGGAAUUCAUUACAUUGUCCCUCUGAUGUUUUGACACUCGUCACCACUCCCUCGUACAUGUCCUUGAUUAUAUCUACAUAGUUGAUCUUACCUCAUUUUUUUUCCAGGACAUGCCAAAUUAGCUCUCUCUGUACUCUGUCAUAAGCUUUCUCUAGGUCAAUAAAGACCAUAUGGAGGUCCUUUCUGUGGGCUCUAAAAACUUCAUAAGCCUCCUUAGGAGGUAAAUAGCUUCUGUUGUGGAUCUCCUUAGCAUAAAGCUGAAUUGGUUCUUCGAUACCUUGGUUUCCUUUCUUAGGUGGACUUCAAUAACUUUUUCGCAUAGUUUCAUGGUGUGGCUCAUAAGUUUUAUGCCUCUAUAGUUUUUGCAGUUUUGGACAUCCCCUUUGUUCUUAUAAAUCGGAACCACAAUGCUUCUCCUCCACUCAUCUGGCAUAGAUUUUGUACUCAACAUUUUGUUAAACAGCUUGGUUAACCAAGACACUCCAUGUCCUCCCAAGCUCUUUCAUACUUCGAUUGGGAUCUCAUCCGGUCUCGUAGUUCUACCUAUAUUCUUCCUUCGCAUGGCCUCUUUAACCUGGAUUUUGUCAAUUUGCAAUAAAUUCCCAUAGGAGGAUUGGCUUCAUGGCUACGCCCCUCCACAUCUGGGUUCACCCUAUCAGUCACAGUUAUCUCCAUUUUGUAGGUUACAAAAAUAAUCACCCCAUCUCCUCAUAAUGUCCUCGUUCCUUACCAAUACUCUACCAUCCUCACUUUUGAUGCAUCUGACACGGUCCAAAUCCAUACUCAUCCUUUCUCUUAUCUUAGCCAUCCUACAAAUCUCUUUUUCUCCCUCCUUUGUGUUAAUGUUUUUAUACAGAUCAUCAUAUUUCUUUGCCCUAGCUUUACCCAUAAUCUUCCUAGCCUCAUUUCUAGCUAUGUGAUAUCUUGCUCUAUCAUCAGGCUCGUUAGUCCUUUGCCAAGUCUUAAAACAAUCUUUCUUAGUCUUAAUGGCGGCCUAGACCUUGUUGUUUCACCACCAGGUCUCUCUAGGGGUACGUCUUCCGCCCUUAGUUAAACCUAAGACCUCUUUAGCCACCUCCUUAAUGCUAGUCGUCAUUGCAGUCCACGUCUCGUUAGUAUUUCCCACAUAGUCUCACGUGCCUCGUUCGAUCACUUUAUCAUAAAACGAUUUUAGGGGCACUCCGCGUAGUCGCCUCUAAUUUAUUUUAAGGCAUAAGUGCAUCACCUUCUUAUGUUGCCUCAUACUAAACUACAAAUCCAUGACCACCAGUCGAUGUUGUGUCGUUAAACUCUCUCUUUGUAUAACCUUAUAAUCUUUACAAAGCAGCUUGUUGGAUCUUGUAGUCAUAAAGAAAUCAAUUUGGCUUGCGUGCAAUCCACUCUUAUAAGUAACUAAAUGCACUUCUUUUUUCUCAAAAAAGGUAUUUGCAAUACAAAGGUCAUAUGCUAUUGCAAAGUCCAACAUUGAAGUCCCCUCUGCGUUCCUCUCUCCAGCUCCAUAUCCUCCAUGCCUCUUCGUAGCCUCUACGAUCCUUGCUUACAUGGCCAUUAAGGUCCCCACCAAUAAUAAUUUUCUCCCCUUGAUCGAGACCCUGCAUCAUUUCAUCCAUAUGCUCCCAGAAUUGUACCUUAACCCUGUCAUCAAGCCCUGCUUGGGGUGCGUAAACGCAAACUAUGUUAAAAAUCUCAUCCCCAAUCACCAGUUUAAUGGCGAGAGUCCUAUCUCCAAGUCUCUUAACAUCCACAACGUCAUUUUUAAGAUCUUUGUCAAGUACUAUUCCCACUCCCCCUCUCCCACAUUCAUUUCCCAAGUACCAUAGCUUGAAGUCGUCCAACCCCUUAGCUUUACUACCUUUCCAUCUCGUUUCUUGAAUACAUGCAACAUUAAUCCUUCUUUUCCUCAUAAAAUCAAUUAACUCCAUACUCGUACUCAUCAGCGAACCAAUGUUCCAUGAUGCAAAUCUAAACCCACAAGAUUAGAACCACAAGACAUGCUAUAAAUGAUAAAAGAGAAGGGUUAGUCAAGAGAUAUGUAGUAAAAUAAUCUAAAAAGGAUUCAUGCAAAAGUGAUUGGUUGAGUAUAAAUAUAUACAGUGCCGGCUACCUACUUGACGCACCAAUAGUAAGGAUGCAAAUAUAGAUAUAUAGAUACUAGAAUGAGCAGAAAUCAGAAGUAAACAUGCAACCCGUCGAACUCAAUAGGCCAGCAUAACAUAAACGAUACUAUCCAACUACAGCAUAGCAUGCACACAACAAGACACAAAUAUGCUCACAGAAACACACAUACAAAAGAUAUCAGAUAGGGUAAGUACGGAAACUUCCCGAGACUAGGGGGGGAAAAAAAACACAAUAAAGGGGAGGAAAAGUGUAGGAGGUGUCCCUUACUACUCAAACUAAGGUGGCAAGGAUGCCAGUCAGCGCCCAGCCAGAAAACCCUUAUCCCAACUAAAUGGGGUCGGGCUACAUGAAUCCUAUUUCUCCAAUCGGUUCUAUUCAAAGCCAUGCAAGAUUCCGAUCCUAAGCUAUACAUGUCCUUCCUCACUACUUUUGUGGUUAUUUUAAGCCUACCUCUAGCUCUUUUAGCUCUUUUAGAGAUUGCAUAUGGGGCAUUUUACCAUGUUGUAUCGAAUAAUUUCUUUUUGUUGCUUUUAAAAGAGUGUUAUUGGCUCUUGCGUCUCGUUUAAGAAGAUUUUUACGGAGAAACUAAGAGAAUAUUCUUGUAUUUAGUACGUUCAAAGAAGUUCCAAAAUUUACACGCAUGGUCUUUCAAAUUAAUCGUUUGAGCAAGGUCUACCUUCCUAGAAGGUUUUACUGAUGGCCAAUAAUCAAUGUGGAAGUUUUUUUUCCUUUAUAAAGAUUCCUUUUUGUCCUUUAGUCAACUAAGUUGCCCUUCGAAAGGGUUCUCCCACCUGUCUGAAAGGUCUUCUACAAUAUAUCUGUUAAUAAGUGCAUUGGGAAUAGUUCACCUGGUGGUGGUGAUUGCAUGUUUUAUUUCUCAGUUUCCGACCUUAAAGAUCGUGAUAUGUAGAAUACAAAUCUUGUGUAGUUAUCUUUUUUUUUUCUGGUAAAUGUAUAGUUAUCAAUGAUGUGUGCAAGACUUGGCCGUUAGAUUAUUUAUUUGUUUGCACAACUUACUAUGCUAUUUUCAGAUCUAAAAAUCCUUGCAUUGAUCACCCACCCAUUUGCCAUUCUCUCUCUCUGAGGUUUGGGAGCUGAAAGCUGCAGAUUUGACUAUUAGCCCUAUUCAGUGUGCUGCAAUUGGUGUUGACAAUUGAAGUCAUUGUAUUUCAUUAACUGUUCAGAGAAGAUAGGUUGCCAACUGUAAGUACAUCUCCGUCCAUCUGAAUUCAUUGGCUCUCUUGAUUAAGGGCAUCUCGCUUCGAUUUCUAUGUCUAGUUUGCACCUGGAAAGAUAAAUUCCGGAGCAAGCCACAUCAUCUGAUCAGGUUAAGCAAGGACAGCUCCUUUUUGGCUCUGAUCAAUCAGUUUGUUAUGCAAAUUUUGUCGGAAUGUUGAUUUUGAUCAGGUUGCUGAUAUGUAUCGUGCUGAAAAGUAUAGUGGUGCUAACGCUCAGGGUGAAGAUGAUUAAGGGAUAGUACCUCAUUUUCAUUUAGCCCAACAGUGCUUUCUUUUGCUGGUUCUCAGUGUCAUAGUGAGCAUGUGGAUUUUUUUUAAUAAUACAUAUUCCUGAUUUGCAGUUGUGAGUUUAUAAGGGGACAUGCAUUUAGCCCACUGAUAUUCGUUGGAUUUAGUUCUCGGCAGGAUCGGAUCAGUACCAGAGAGGAUCGGUGUGUAUUAGUCACUUUUACCCUUGCUUUUCAGAAAAGUAUUUUUUUUUUUUACUGUUUUAACCUGAAACGAUAUGGAUAAUCGAUUUGGAUCGAUCUCAGCCAAUACCGAUACGAUACCGAUACUUGAAACCAUGUGUCCUGGACCCCUGAUGGUGUGGCCAAUCAAAGGUUCAGAUAUCAGGAGGGUAUUUUGGGGGACAUACGAAUAUGUGGAGGCAAAUCUUUUUCCAAAUUGUAUUCAAAUUGAUACCCAUAUGAUAAGGGUUCGAUCUAGGAGAAGGUGCAGAGGAAACAAUAAAAGGAGGUAGAGAUGGAGGAAUAGCAGAGAUGAUAGGCCUGUACAAAAAGUAUGGAGGAUCUAGUAACAGCUUGACUACCGUCUGGCACCAAGAUAGUAAAACCCCUUCAUUGUAGAGUGAAGGUUUGGAGUAGAACGAUGAAAGAUGACAAGGCUGCGGGUCCUUCAGAUCAGCCACAUCAAAGACACCCAGUGAACAACAUCCCUAUAAUGAGGAACCCCGUUGAGGUGCUAUUGCAGGAAGGUGAUCCAGUCUUUAAUCGAGUAUCCAUUGAAGAAACUCGCCAACAUGAGGCAGCAAAAGUGCAAAUACAAGGGCAUGAAAAACAGUCUCUGAGCAGGCAUAGCAAAAGGGGCAAUCAGAAUUAACAAAGAGGUUCCUACGAAAGAGAUGGUUGACAGCCAAAACUCCGUAGCUACAGUGCCUCCAAGAAAAUUGAAUGAGGGAAGUAAUGACCUUUAAACACUUGAACCCAUAAACCAAUUCCAUUCUGUAAGAUCUGCCACCACUGUUGUGCUAGUAGAGCCAAAUUAGAACAUUCAAAGUUGCGAAAGCCAAAGCCGCCGGUGACUUUUUUUGGUGCACAAAUUCUCAUUCUUAGGCAUGUUUCCACCUGAACCGACGAAGGAAGAAGGAUGAAGAAUCAUAGACAUGACUGGACAGAUUUGAUAAAAAUUUCCUUACAAGCAGGGGAAAACAGAUUUUCCUUCCUCCUUGAAAGUUUUGACUUGGACCCUUCUGAUAAUGCCAUGGAAAGUAAGGCUUCCAAAAUCA